rnacentral:rRNA from 1 species
GAAACAUCUUCGGGUUGUGAGGUUAAGCGACUAAGCGUACACGGUGGAUGCCCUGGCAGUCAGAGGCGAUGAAGGACGUGCUAAUCUGCGAUAAGCGUCGGUAAGGUGAUAUGAACCGUUAUAACCGGCGAUUUCCGAAUGGGGAAACCCAGUGUGUUUCGACACACUAUCAUUAACUGAAUCCAUAGGUUAAUGAGGCGAACCGGGGGAACUGAAACAUCUAAGUACCCCGAGGAAAAGAAAUCAACCGAGAUUCCCCCAGUAGCGGCGAGCGAACGGGGAGGAGCCCAGAGCCUGAAUCAGUGUGUGUGUUAGUGGAAGCGUCUGGAAAGGCGCGCGAUACAGGGUGACAGCCCCGUACACAAAAAUGCACAUGCUGUGAGCUCGAUGAGUAGGGCGGGACACGUGGUAUCCUGUCUGAAUAUGGGGGGACCAUCCUCCAAGGCUAAAUACUCCUGACUGACCGAUAGUGAACCAGUACCGUGAGGGAAAGGCGAAAAGAACCCCGGCGAGGGGAGUGAAAAAGAACCUGAAACCGUGUACGUACAAGCAGUGGGAGCACGCUUAGGCGUGUGACUGCGUACCUUUUGUAUAAUGGGUCAGCGACUUAUAUUCUGUAGCAAGGUUAACCGAAUAGGGGAGCCGAAGGGAAACCGAGUCUUAACUGGGCGUUAAGUUGCAGGGUAUAGACCCGAAACCCGGUGAUCUAGCCAUGGGCAGGUUGAAGGUUGGGUAACACUAACUGGAGGACCGAACCGACUAAUGUUGAAAAAUUAGCGGAUGACUUGUGGCUGGGGGUGAAAGGCCAAUCAAACCGGGAGAUAGCUGGUUCUCCCCGAAAGCUAUUUAGGUAGCGCCUCGUGAAUUCAUCUCCGGGGGUAGAGCACUGUUUCGGCAAGGGGGUCAUCCCGACUUACCAACCCGAUGCAAACUGCGAAUACCGGAGAAUGUUAUCACGGGAGACACACGGCGGGUGCUAACGUCCGUCGUGAAGAGGGAAACAACCCAGACCGCCAGCUAAGGUCCCAAAGUCAUGGUUAAGUGGGAAACGAUGUGGGAAGGCCCAGACAGCCAGGAUGUUGGCUUAGAAGCAGCCAUCAUUUAAAGAAAGCGUAAUAGCUCACUGGUCGAGUCGGCCUGCGCGGAAGAUGUAACGGGGCUAAACCAUGCACCGAAGCUGCGGCAGCGACGCUUAUGCGUUGUUGGGUAGGGGAGCGUUCUGUAAGCCUGUGAAGGUGUGCUGUGAGGCAUGCUGGAGGUAUCAGAAGUGCGAAUGCUGACAUAAGUAACGAUAAAGCGGGUGAAAAGCCCGCUCGCCGGAAGACCAAGGGUUCCUGUCCAACGUUAAUCGGGGCAGGGUGAGUCGACCCCUAAGGCGAGGCCGAAAGGCGUAGUCGAUGGGAAACAGGUUAAUAUUCCUGUACUUGGUGUUACUGCGAAGGGGGGACGGAGAAGGCUAUGUUGGCCGGGCGACGGUUGUCCCGGUUUAAGCGUGUAGGCUGGUUUUCCAGGCAAAUCCGGAAAAUCAAGGCUGAGGCGUGAUGACGAGGCACUACGGUGCUGAAGCAACAAAUGCCCUGCUUCCAGGAAAAGCCUCUAAGCAUCAGGUAACAUCAAAUCGUACCCCAAACCGACACAGGUGGUCAGGUAGAGAAUACCAAGGCGCUUGAGAGAACUCGGGUGAAGGAACUAGGCAAAAUGGUGCCGUAACUUCGGGAGAAGGCACGCUGAUAUGUAGGUGAAGUCCCUCGCGGAUGGAGCUGAAAUCAGUCGAAGAUACCAGCUGGCUGCAACUGUUUAUUAAAAACACAGCACUGUGCAAACACGAAAGUGGACGUAUACGGUGUGACGCCUGCCCGGUGCCGGAAGGUUAAUUGAUGGGGUCAGCGCAAGCGAAGCUCUUGAUCGAAGCCCCGGUAAACGGCGGCCGUAACUAUAACGGUCCUAAGGUAGCGAAAUUCCUUGUCGGGUAAGUUCCGACCUGCACGAAUGGCGUAAUGAUGGCCAGGCUGUCUCCACCCGAGACUCAGUGAAAUUGAACUCGCUGUGAAGAUGCAGUGUACCCGCGGCAAGACGGAAAGACCCCGUGAACCUUUACUAUAGCUUGACACUGAACAUUGAGCCUUGAUGUGUAGGAUAGGUGGGAGGCUUUGAAGUGUGGACGCCAGUCUGCAUGGAGCCGACCUUGAAAUACCACCCUUUAAUGUUUGAUGUUCUAACGUUGACCCGUAAUCCGGGUUGCGGACAGUGUCUGGUGGGUAGUUUGACUGGGGCGGUCUCCUCCUAAAGAGUAACGGAGGAGCACGAAGGUUGGCUAAUCCUGGUCGGACAUCAGGAGGUUAGUGCAAUGGCAUAAGCCAGCUUGACUGCGAGCGUGACGGCGCGAGCAGGUGCGAAAGCAGGUCAUAGUGAUCCGGUGGUUCUGAAUGGAAGGGCCAUCGCUCAACGGAUAAAAGGUACUCCGGGGAUAACAGGCUGAUACCGCCCAAGAGUUCAUAUCGACGGCGGUGUUUGGCACCUCGAUGUCGGCUCAUCACAUCCUGGGGCUGAAGUAGGUCCCAAGGGUAUGGCUGUUCGCCAUUUAAAGUGGUACGCGAGCUGGGUUUAGAACGUCGUGAGACAGUUCGGUCCCUAUCUGCCGUGGGCGCUGGAGAACUGAGGGGGGCUGCUCCUAGUACGAGAGGACCGGAGUGGACGCAUCACUGGUGUUCGGGUUGUCAUGCCAAUGGCACUGCCCGGUAGCUAAAUGCGGAAGAGAUAAGUGCUGAAAGCAUCUAAGCACGAAACUUGCCCCGAGAUGAGUUCUCCCUGACUCCUUGAGAGUCCUGAAGGAACGUUGAAGACGACGACGUUGAUAGGCCGGGUGUGUAAGCGCAGCGAUGCGUUGAGCUAACCGGUACUAAUGAACCGUGAGGCUUAACCUU